AGAGAAAGACAGAAAGGGCAGAGAGAGGGGGGUGGUGGGGUGGGAGUGGGUGAGAGGGAAGGUCUUUAGCCAAAUGCGGGAGACUUGGCAGGCAGGAGCUGCACCAGCGGUGUCUACUCCAUUGUUGUCUGGGGCGGGGGGAGAGUUGUUUGUUUAUUUUGUUGUUUUGCCUCUUUGUCUCUUUUGUUCCAAGCAGUUAGUUCGCUUCUUUCCCAGACUCUGGGCUGAUGGAAGACUUUAUGGAUUUCCCUUAAAGAGACAGAGCUAGCCAGUUCACCAGUACUAUCAGUUUCCCAGUCCUAACCAGUCCCUUCCUAAGUGAUUUAUUUUCUAAAAGGAUCCUAUAAAGAAUAGAGAGUCAGUGUUUGUGCUGUUUCUUGCGCCUGAUUAACAAGAGGAAGCUGGUCAAUUUCACUCUCUGCACUAAACCUCCGCCUCCUCCAGGGUUGCCAAAACUGCCCCAGAGGAAAAGAAAGACAGAAGAAAAACCGCAAAGUAAAGCAAGUGAACGUAUGUGCAGAGACCCGCAAGCACAGGUUGCGCCCUUUAAAAAAAUAGGCUCCAAAAUUAGAAAUACAAGCUUGAGUUUUAUUCCGCAGACAGACAGACAGGCGGACAAGGAAGGAAGAGGGCAGUUGGUCCCUCUCUCACACUCACGGAGGACCAGCCCUUUCCCCGGAGGCCCUCUUUCUCCUGAGGCCCACCCUGGAGGGUGAACAGUGUGGGAUUUGGGGUGCAGGAACCUGGCUUGGGUUACUCCCCCGUGCUUGGCCUUCCUCGGGGAGCCGUGGAUCAUACACCGGGCAGCCCAGGGGAUGUGUAGAAGCGUCCAGAAUCACUAGCCUGAAGGGAGCAGAGGUGUGGGAAAGGGGCAUCCGGCCAGCCUUAGACUUUCUGUUCCGACAGGGAAUCCCAGCUUCCUGUUGCCGCAGUAAUUUCAAUAGGUUUUGGUGCGAAGAAGCUUCUGAAAGAAAUGAAAUUCCCAGCCAUCCCCCGGUUUCUGCGGCCUAGAUUUUCACUUUCUCUCCACUCUUCCUUUGAGAAGCGUAGCCUGCUCUGUUCUUUAAUCUAUUUUUCUCCCCAGUACUCCUGCUUUAAAAUCUCCCAGUGAAACCUAGGGUGCUAGAUAUUAAAAUGAAUAAACACAGUCGAGGGGACUGCGGCCUUAGGCAGGAUACUCAGGGCUGAAGGUAAGAAAGGAACCGGGCUCCCUCCUGAACAAGCAGCAAGCACAAAUCAGAGCCCAGCUUCUGCCCUCCUCCUGAGGCCGCCAACGCUGGGAGUGCAGCAGCUCUGGCUCUGUGGUGGGGGCUUUUCUUCCUCCCCAUUCCCGAGGAGCUCGGGAUCUGAAAUACACACAGUUAAGCCCACCGCUCAAACUUGCAGGGGCGCUGUGGGGAGUUAAGAAGCAAGGGCACCACACUCGCAACUGAAUCUGCGCUCUCACCUGAAUUUCCCUCCACGCUUGCGCCCGGCCUUCCCCAACAAACGCUCCUUCCAAAGCCAGCAUGAGGGUCCCCAGCUGUGGCUGCACGGUAUUGCUUCUGGUGGGGUGCCACUUGGAGGUGCUGUAAACCUCCAUCUCCACAUGGGGUGACCCUCUGCAGGGAUUUCUCUGACGCAGCAGUGGUAGCAAAUUUGGCCAAUUCUUGCGGGGACCAGCUUGGGGGCGGGAGUCCUCGCCUUCAGUGUGAGGAGAUGUGACCUAGGUACCCAAGACCACCAGCCUGAGUAGGGCCUGGGCCUACCAAGAGCGCCGCUAGAGCUGCUGAGCGUGUGGGCCACGUGCUUUACGCGCAGGAGAGCUGUCAAGGGGAGCUGGGUGGGGCGCAUCUCCUGAUUCUACUGGAAGGAGGAUGUGGGGGGGAAUUGUAGCCAUCUUGGUUAGAGUGGACGGUUCACGUCUGCUCUUACAUGAGGUAAACAGCAUCCCACUAACCCUGAACUAGGGACAGAACUGAUUCCGACUUGGAAGACGUUGGCUUAGCUGAGCUGAACCUGCUUGUCCUCAGGACGACUUUCUGGGCCGGCGUCGGGCGAUUGACUAUAGGAACCCGUCUGCCACGUGGAAGGAGCAAGGCUGAGUGGGGGCCACAACCCCGCAGGCGUCAAGUCCGAUUUCACGCCCAGCCACGUGGGGGUUCCAGAAGCCCUCGCGGCGCCUCAGGCCCGGCAGUCCUUGCCACACCGCAUGGGCGGAUUUCGUUUCCCUUCCCUGCGCGCUUCUCAGCAGCGCCAGAGGAGCUCCGAUUUUGCGGGAACGUCCCGUUGCUUUGUUGGUUUCAAUGUUGAAGCCCUAAGCUGGUAAAUUUGGACACAGAAUCUCAAACCUCGCUAAUCCUAGACAUAAUUAAAACAUAACGGGCCACAGACUAAGCAGCUGGAGGUGCUUUCUUUGGUAGUCUCCUGACCCCGCACCUGGAGCUGUGCGGCCCCCUGAGGGAGUGAACUUUUCCACCUCCACGGCUCUCCGCAGGAAGGUGCUGUAACAGGGUCUGAUCUCCGCGGCUACCUUGUCUCCCAAACUUCACUCAGAUCCACCGCAUCCACAGCCCAGGAUCAGCGGGUGGGCAAGGAGUGCCGGAGAGGCUUGCCUCGCUCCGGCACGAAUUAGCUUCCCACCACUCCCCAGGAUCUCCCAGGGAGACGAAAUCAGGCCCGAGAAAUCGCGCCCCAGGAGCCGCUGGCCCCCAUUCUGGAGACAACCCGCCCCGCACGAAGGGCGCAUCUCCCGGCCCCCAGCGGGCGACCGGGAGGCAGGCGGAAGCUCAGGGCUCGGGCAGGGAGGAAACUUUUUAAAAAGAAAAGCUAUCUAAAAAAUGAAAAAAAAAAAAAAAAAAAAAAGAAACAAACCUAAACUAAGAGCCGCAGGUCUCCGCCGAAAGUGCGCGGGGGAGGAGGGGGCGGAACCGCAGGCGCGGGCGGUGGGGGCUGAGCGCGGACUCCGGCCGGCACAGGCGGCGCCUCGGGGGCUCCCCGGCUGCGCGCUCCCACCCGAAAGGGCCACCCCAUACACAGCCUGGUGACUGAAGUGAGACGUCCCAGAAAAGAACUACGUUGCUGUGGAGAGAUUUCCACUCCUGAAGCCUUCCAGUCUCAUCCUGAGGCCUGCAGGACACAUGGAAGGACUUUCCCAAGUCAUGCUCCAGAGAAAAGGAAACUGUCCCGGCCUGCAUCGGGGAAGCUAAUUUUCCCCCUUCUUUUCUGCAGGUCUUCCAAGUCUUAUGACUCUAAUUUCCAGAUCAGAAAGCAAGGUUCUGUGUUUACGAUCCUUUGUCCUUUGCAUAUGGAGAGCUCCCAGGGGAACGCUGUGAUGGGCUAAGUACUCUGAGCCUGUUGUGGGCGAGGCCCAGGCGUGGCAACUCCAGAGGAAAUUCACUCACAUCUGCUUCGUGAUCUGCGAGCCCCAAAUCAGGUCAGCUCCCACUGCCUCCUGCCGGACACGCCUCUCCUCCCUACCAGGGAACAGCAGGGCUGGGGGUGGUGACACAGCCAGUAGCAAGUCUGAAAUGCUAUAUGUGGCCUUCUGAGUUUAGUUCUGAUAGCUCCCUCAAUCAUAUGGAAAAUAGGAAAAUUAGCUAAAAAAUUCGGCUUGAAAGCCAUUGAUUCAAGAAAAACAGACAUUGAUGUCCACGUAAAAGCUCGUGUAUGAAUGCUCCUAGCAGCAUUUUCAUAACAGCCAAAAAAGGGACAAGGGCUCCAACGCCUGUCAGCUGAUGAAGGUGGUAUAUUGAUAUAUGGGAAUAUUAUUCAGCAAGCAAAAGAAAGGAAAUACUCACACAUGUGACAAUAUGGUUGAAUUUUUAAAAACAUCAUGCUAAGCGGAAGAGCUGGGGAAAGGGUGGGAGUGUUGGAGGUGACAGCAAAACAGGACGGUUUCUUUCUGGAGCGACGAAAAUGUUCUAAAAUGAAGUUGAUUGUCUAGCUUGGCGGGUGUAUUAAAAACUACUGAAUUUUGCCCCUUAAGUGGAUGAAUUACAUAGUGUGUGAAUUACAUCUCAAUAAAGCUGUUAGUAUUCUUUAAAUUUCUCUUUUCCUGAGCCUAACCCCCUUGGGAUACAUGUGGCCAGGCUUGAAAAAGAGACUUUUUUUUAAGGUAACUAAAAUGAGAAUGCAAAAAAUAAUGAUUUUUCCUUAGGUAGAAAGACUCAUUUGCAGGGUCAUGCAUGCCCCACAAUAUAGUAUUGUGUUUUGAGUUUUGCUGAUUUUUUCCCUCAGUCUGAAAGCAUUAAAAUGUUUAUUCAGUGAUACUAAAGUGGAUCUUAAUUUUUCUUUUUUCCUUUAGGCUGUAGCAUGCUGAAUUUCUGUUAAAGAAACACCAACCAUAUUUUCAGUUCAGAUGUUUAGAUAUUGCUAACCUUAAGCCCUAGGCUCUAUGAUUCAGGCCUUAUCGAAUGACACAUUCUAUCCAGUUCAUAGGAGCACAGCCAAUAAAUCCACUGGUUAGUGUUCAGAAAUUUUGUUAACCAGUUGUUAAACCCAAUCAUUAAAUUUAAAGCAUAUAAACAUAAUUAAAUGAAUUAUACUAAAACUGAAGGCAACAUUCAGAUCUUAUUACUUCCUAAUCAUUUGGUUUCACUUUACUAUUGUCUUGGGUCUUGAAGGGAUUUGUACCGAUUGGAUCUGUGCGGUGGAAAUACUGUAUAGUGAUGUUUACUGUGUAUCUCUUCCCAACUCCAUGUUCAGUGACCUGCCCUUUAGAGCUCGAAAUCGGCUGUGGUGGUGGUGUGGGGGGGGGGGGCUUACAUUAUAUAACGGGCCAGUGUUAUUCACUAGGCUCCCUCUUUCUUGACAAAGAGAUUGUUAAACAUUUACCGGCUGUAGUGGGUUGAAUAGUGGCCCCUCAAAACAUAUCCCAGUCUCUGGAAUUGGUGGAUUUAACCUUAUUUGGAAACAAUGUCCUGGCUGCUAUAAUUAAGGAUCUUGAGAUAAAAUCAUCCUGAUUUCUCUCAGGGAGCACAAAAUACAGUCACGUGUGCCCUUACAGGACAGAGGCAGAGAGUGAUUUGACACAGACACACAGAGGGAACAAAGAAACAAUGUGACCACAGACAGAGGUUCCAGGGAUGUGGCCACAAACCAAGGAAUUCCCUCAGCCACCAAAAGCUGGAAGAAACAAGAAACCGUCUCCUCCAUAGCCGCUGGAGGUAGCAUGACCCUGCUGAUACCUUGAAUUGGGACCCAGAGUGUCUAGAAAUGUGAAGGAAUAAACUGCUGUUGUGUUAAGCCA